GCAUGGGUUUGGAUUUAUGGCAGGCCAAUUCCCAUGAGUCUCUCAAUAGUAUCGCGUGCUAGAGCAACCUGUGGCCCCGAACCAUUGCCUGGUCUCUGUAUGCUGCUGGCACUGAAGUGGGUCUCACAAUA